ensembl:snRNA U6 U6 spliceosomal RNA
GUGCUCACUUCAGCAGCACAUAUACUAAAAUUGAAAAGAUACAGAGGACUUUAGCAUGUCCCCUGUGCAAGGAUGACAUGCAAAUGUUUGAAGUGUUCCAUAUUUUA